rnacentral:rRNA from 1 species
AGGACGAACGCUGGCGGCGUGCUUCAUACAUGCAAGUCGAACGAGAAAUCUACUCGGUAGAUGGGAAAGUGGCGGACGGGUGAGUAAUAUGUAGAGAAUCUGCCCUAGAGAGGGGGACAACCGUUGGAAACGACAGCUAAUACCCCAUAUGAGCGUACCUGAAAUGGUAUUCUUGAAAACUCCGGUGCUCUGGGAUGAGUCUGCAUCUGAUUAGCUAGUUGGGGGUGUAAUGGACCACCAAGGCGACGAUCAGUAGCUGGUUUGAGAGGAUGAUCAGCCACAAUGGGACUGAGACACGGCCCAUACUCCUACGGGAGGCAGCAGUAGGGAAUUUUGCGCAAUGGGCGAAAGCCUGACGCAGCAACGCCGCGUGAUCGAGACGCUUUUCGGAGUGUAAAGAUCUGUCACAGGGGACGAACGAUGACGGUACCCUGAGAGGAAGCACCGGCUAACUCCGUGCCAGCCGCCGC